AACAUAUUAGGUGGACAUCUUCUUGUUAGCUCCUUGUAUCUCUCCCAGGCUUCAUACAAGGUUUCUCCAUCCAGUUGCCUGAAGGUUUGCACCUCAGUUCUCAACUU